GAAAAACUUUCAACUGCAGUUCUGCCUUUGUAGCAGAGCUAUGUUAAAAAGUUUUGGCGCAGUUGCACAAAACCUCCUAUUGCAUUAUUCAGUCUCAUUCUGUUUUAUGUUGUUUGGAUACUCAGGACUGUUUUCCUCCAAUAAAGCAAUGUCUCAUUGUUAUAGCAGUUCUGCAGUGAUCCUACAGGGUGCAAGGAAUAGGACUUCUGAAAGCUGGCCUAAGAGAUGCUUAGGAAUUCAUUCUACCCUUACUUCUUGUUCACACUGGUAACUUGCUCUUUUCCAUGCUCCACCAUAAUUUGCUAAUGACUGUUCUGACAUUCAGGAUGAGCUUAAUGUUCAAUACGGCCUCCUAGUUGUGCAUGAGUUGCUGGAAAUCAGUGGGAUGACAGGUAGGUGAAAGGAACCAACACAGUACCCUUAUCCAUGGAAAAGUUAUUAACAUUUUUAUGAUCUGGAAUACUGAACCAGAGUAAAGCAUGAGAUGAGGAGGGGGUGUCACCCUCUAUAUGAGCAACUGGAGUGCAUGGAGCUCUGCCUGGGGAUGGAUGAGGAGCUGACGGAGAGCUUAUUGGUCAGGAUUAAAGUGAGGGCAGUGACAGGGGACAUGAGAGUGGGGGUCUGCUCCAGGCCACCUGAUCAGAAAGACCAAAUAGAUUUGGCCCUCUACAGACAAAUAGAAGCAGCCUCAUGUUAAGAAGUCCUGAUCCUCGUGAGGCACUUCAACCAUACUGAUAUUUUUGGAGGGACAGCAGGGCACAGUUUCCUGAAAUGCAUUAAUGAUAACUUCCUUAUAUACGUGAUACAGAAACAAAUAAGAGAUGAUGUGCUGGACCAUGUUGUCACAAACAAGGAGGGGCUGAAGGGGAAUGUGAAACUCAAGGGCAGCCUUGAGCCUUUAGGAUCCUGAGGGCAGUGAGGAAGUAGCACAGCAAGCUCACUAACCUGGACUACAGGAGAGCAGACUUUGUCCUCUUCACAGACCUGCCAUGGUCACAGCCAUCACUUACAGUGCCAUGGUACAAAGUCCUGGAGGGAAGAAGAGUCUAAGAAAGCUCGUUAAUAUUCAAGGAUCACCUCCUCCAAACUUAAGAGCAAUGUAUUCCAGCAAAGAAGAAGUCAGGCAAAAAUGUCGAGACCAGCAUGGAUGAACAAGUAAUACUUGGACAAUAAUAAAAUAUCAAUAUCAUUAAUAAUAAAAGGAAGA
rnacentral:lncRNA from 1 species